rnacentral:lncRNA from 1 species
UUUUUCUAGAUUUGAUUCCUUUGUUACUAUUAGAAAUAAAUGGUCCUUAAAGUGGUCAGUGGGUCGAUAGUGGGUUUAGUUGCAUGUAACAGGAAAGGUCAAACAACAUUUUCUAAUGGUGGUUUAUUUCUCAAGUGGAAUUGGAGGUCAUCAGUCUAAGGCUCAUGGAGACUCCAGGACCUGGAUUCUUUCCACUUUAUCAACAUGACUAUGGCUUUCAUCCUUAAGGUCAUUUCUGGUCUAAGAUGAUUGUUGGAGUCCCAGCCUACAUUCCUGUAUAUGAAGCAGGAAGAAAGUGUGGAUAAGGCAAAAGUUUAGGCAAAAGUUUAAAGGAACUUGCUUGGGAGCCCUGUUCAGUGUUUCACACCUUACCAAGUACACAUGCAUGCCAGAUAGCUAGUUGUAAGAAAGACUGGGAAUAAAAUUUGGAAUUUUAUCUGAGUAUUUGCAGUCCCAAAUGCCAUUGGGAUUCUGGCACUAAGAAAUAGGAAGCAUGGGUGUUAACAUUGGUAGCUCCCACAGUUGUCUCUUCCACACAGUUAUCUCUUCCUCUGGAAGCAAGAUAGCUGUGUGAAGUGCUUACAUUUGUGCAAAUUGACCUUAAGAGACCUGCAGAGUGCUUCAUCAGGUUGGCCAGUGGAAGGAACAAGGCCCUUCCAAUGAGAAGAUUCCGAAUCUGAAUUUCUGCUUUCUGUUCUUGUACAGGGUUGGUUGUGACCCAGGUAGUUUCCAAGUGACUCAACUGAGUACCCAGUUCUGCAUACAGUCGAGUUUGUUUGGAUAUCCUGUGUUAGGAGCCUGUGAUUUGGAUGUUGGUCCUAUCACCUGCUAGAGUGGUAGCUAUGGCAACUGUUUGUAUUUGUUCCCAUGUCUGUGUCCUCAGAAGAUCCGAGUUAUGACCAGUGACUUAAAGUCUAGUUAAAGAGUAGAAUCCCAGCAUCUGUAUGGGGAACCAUGUUUACAAGUGACAGUACAUAGGAAGUAGGUAAAGUACUUCAUCUCAAGUGGGAGAUAACCGCUGUCUUAAAUGUCUUCCAGUUGGAUCAGUAAAGUCUUAUCUCCAAGGCAGUAUAUUAUGGCUUCCAGAGGCUCCAUGUUAGUGCUUAGCUUCAUUGUUAACUGUUCUUCCUGCCUUGUCUCACUGUCAGACUGUUUGGAGGUAGGCUGUGCAUCGUCUAGCUGUUGGUCUCUGUGGGGUAGGCUGUGCAUCGUCUAGCUGUUGGUCUCUGUGGGAUAGGCUGUGCAUCGUCUAGCUGUUGGUCUCUGUGGGGUAGGCUAUGCAUCGUCUAGCUGUUGGUCUCUGUGUUAGUUCUGUGCUGAGUCUCCACUCUGAGCUGCUUGCCAUCUUUUUGGUAGCCAAUCAAAGCCUAGUUCCUCAUCAAACAUCUGUCUACUGGUUUUAGUACCACUAUACCCCCUGCUCAAAUAAUAAUUAUGUUGCUGACAGUACUUUAACACUUAGAGUUAGCACUGUACCCUGAACUUUUGACACAUUGCACACAUCCUAAACAGACUGCAAUCUGGUAUUGGUUUUGAUUCAGGAAUUUUCCAUUUGCAGGUGGCUUCUUUCUGUGGAAUUAGCUGUUUUCACAUAUCUACAUGUUCCCUCUAUAUUUAGUGUUCUUGGCAUCACUCACUCCAGUGUGCCACCAUAGAAUCACCCUAUUCUUUCUCCCUCUAUAUCUACAAUUUUCUUCACCAUGAGAAAUCUGGCUUCCAUCAUCUUCAUUUUAUGGUUCAUUCUUGAACAGCAUGGGACAGAACUCCGUUGUCCCCCUUUGAGCAUGUAUGGAUGAACAGCAUGGGACAGAACUCCGUUGUCCCCCUUUGAGCAUGUAUGGAUGGAGGGUAGAUUUCUGAGGAUUUGAAAACAAAACCUUGUAAACCAUAUAGCCUAAAAUUUCAGAAAAGAAGAAAAAGGAGAUAAUGAAUCGAGAAUAAACUUUUUAAAUUCUUCUACAAAUGAUGCCCAGCCUAUUAUAAAAAUGUAUCAACUUUCACAGACUGUACAUGGUGUUUUGUAAUCAAGAAAAAUGCAAACAAAUGUAAAGAUGCGAUAUUAAAUCAUAACCACAGUACCUUGGUGCCAAUUUUGUAGCCACCUCACAUGGCUUGCAACAUGCUCAAGUGCUGGGAGCAUCCAUUAAAAGCACGGUGUGACACUAAUCGUCCCCAUAGAGCAGUUCACUCUCUAGUAGUUGCAGAUACCAAUAAAAUAAUCUCUCACC